CCUACGGGUGGCAGCAGUGGGGAAUAUUGCGCAAUGGGCGAAAGCCUGACGCAGCGACGCCGCGUGAGGGAUGAAGGUCUUCGGAUCGUAAACCUCUGUCAGCAGGGAAGAACGGUCACUGUGCUAAUCAGCAGUGAAUUGACGGUACCUGCAAAGGAAGCACCGGCUAACUCCGUGCCAGCAGCCGCGGUAAUACGGAGGGUGCGAGCGUUAAUCGGAAUUACUGGGCGUAAAGCGCUCGUAGGCGGUAUGUCAAGUCAAGGGUGAAAUCCCCGCGCUUAACGUGGGAAUUGCCUUUGAUACUGGCAAGCUGGAGGGUGUGAGAGGGUGGUGGAAUUCCAGGUGUAGGGGUGAAAUGCGGAGAUAUGUGGAGGAACAUCAGUGGCGAAGGCGACUAUCUGGACAAUAACUGACGCUGAGGAGCGAAAGCGUGGGUAGCAAACAGGAUUAGAUACCCGUGUAGUC
rnacentral:rRNA from 1 species